rnacentral:rRNA from 1 species
UACGAAGGGUGCAAGCGUUACUCGGAAUUACUGGGCGUAAAGCGUGCGUAGGUGGUUCGUUAAGUCUGUCGUGAAAGCCCCGGGCUCAACUGGGAAUGGCGAUGGAUACUGGCGGGCUAGAGUGCGGUAGAGGAGAGUGGAAUUCCCGGUGUAGCAGUGAAAUGCGUAGAGAUCGGGAGGAACAUCAGUUGCGAAGGCGGCUCUCUGGACCAGCACUGACACUGAGGCACGAAAGCGUGGGGAGCAAACAGG